UUUCCUACGGGGCGCAGCAGUGAGGAAUAUUGGUCAAUGGGCGCGAGCCUGAACCAGCCAAGUCGCGUGAGGGAAGACGGUCCUAUGGAUUGUAAACCUCUUUUGUCGGGGAGCAAAAGACGCCACGUGUGGCGUUCCGAGAGUACCCGAAGAAAAAGCAUCGGCUAACUCCGUGCCAGCAGCCGCGGUAAUACGGAGGAUGCGAGCGUUAUCCGGAUUUAUUGGGUUUAAAGGGUGCGUAGGCGGACAGUCAAGUCAGCGGUAAAAAUGCGGUGCUCAACGCCGUACAGCCGUUGAAACUGGCA
rnacentral:rRNA from 1 species